AUGUGGGCCAUCGGCCCACACGAUAUUAACUCUAUUUUUUAAGGGAGAAAGCCCGUUAAGAUAGCCUUGCUAUCUGGGCUUUCAUGAGUCGCCCAUGCGUUGCACUACUGCACAGGGCCUGGCUCAACCCG
rnacentral:snRNA from 1 species